GGAAAGGUGGAGAAGACACACAUGACAGUCAUCAAAACUUACCUGCUCCAUCCAAAUUUCCAACAGCAUCAGAUAAUAGAGGCAGUGAGAGAGUGUGUGUCUCUGUCUGCUCCAGGACCUCAUGUGAUCGCACUCGUACUGCAGUAUAAGGACUUCAGUGAGGAGGACACACACAGAGUGAAAUAUGUGCUGAACCUCUUCAGUGAGCAGGCCAUUAAACACACUAUAGUGGUGACCUCUGAUGAAGAGCCACCCACAUCCAAAUGGACUUCUAAGAUAUGGUAUAAUACAGUUUAUAAUUUAAUAAAGGAGUGUGGAGGAGGACACCUUAAGUUUGAUACAAUAAACCCAGGAUGGCGCUCUGAGUUGAUCAGAAGGACAGAAGAGAUACUCAAGAAAGAACAUGAAGAAUUUCUCAUCUGUAACAUGUAUGAGGAUGGAGGUGAUGAAGCAUCAGUGGAUGAAGAUCUGAGCAGAUCUGGAGCUUCAGAUAGAGACGAUGAGAAACAGAAGAAGGAUUCAGAUCUCAAAGAGAGCACAAAAACAGGACGUGAUGGAGGAGUGACGACUACUAAAUCAAAGCUGAACAUCGUGCUGUGUGGAAAUCAUCCAACACUCAAGGGUUCAGUGUCUAGAAUCUUUAGAGGGAUAAUAAAUAAACAAAAGAAUAAACAAAUAAAUAAACUUUUACCUCAGAAAGAGAGGAGCAAUGUGAGUGUGAAGAGAGAUGGAAUGAUUAAUGGACGGCAGAUCAGUGUAAUAGAGCUUCCAGCUCUCUCUCGUCUCUCAGAGGAGGACGUGAUGCGGGAGACUCACCGCUGUGUGUCUCUCUGUGAUCCUGGAGUUCAUCUUUUCAUCCUCGUUACUCCUGUCAGUCCACACACUAAUGAAGACCGAGCAGAAAUGGAGAAGAUUAAAAGAAUAUUUAACUCUAAUGAGCACUUCAUGGUGCUUUUCUUUACUGAACUCACUGUUGACAAAAGUGUUUCAGAUUUUGUAGCGUCCACAGAGUCUCAGAGUGUUGUGAGUCUCUAUGGGAGCUGGUACAAUGUGAUGGGGUUACAGGACCAGAGAAACUCUCAACAGAUCUCGGCCAUGUUAGACUGUAUAGAGAGCAUGAAGACUGAACCCUAUUCUCUUCAGACGUAUAUAAGAGCUCCAGAGAGGAGAGUCAGACAUGAACUAGAGGAGAAACUGAGAGUGAGAGAUAAUGAAAUCAAAGAGUUACAGCAGAAGAUCAAGACACUGGGUGAGUGCAUUCAUUUAUUUUUAAUAGGACAUCUA
rnacentral:lncRNA from 1 species